ensembl:lncRNA
CCUGAACAAGCCUUCACUGAAUGAGCCAAACAAACGCUGAGCUGAGUCUCACCAUGGAGUUCCAGACUGGGACCUGUCCUGAGGACCAGUCUGUGGGCACUUCUGCUCUGUUCAUAGGGGCAGUUCUGGGGUCCACUGCAGCAGUCCCAUCCUCUGUAUUAAGAGAAUGUGCAAAGCAGAAGGGAGACCGAGUACUUCACAGAAAUCUAAUAAUAUCUCUCAACACUGGCAGCCAGAAGCCUCCCCAGAGAAGGUGGAUGAUGAGCAAAUGAGAAAGGGAAGGAGAGGAUGAGAACUCCUGGCUGGAGGAAAAUAUAACCAGAAAGAGAAAGUAAAGCCAGAGCCACGUGAAUCACAAAAAUGGAAACAAACAAAAAAUGAUGACAAAAACACCUCCCAGCAAGUGUAUGUAUAUUUUUGGAAUAUAGUAAAACUCUGCUAUAAUGUGCCAUAUGACUGUAUAAUUUAAACCUGAGUUUCA